rnacentral:rRNA from 1 species
AACGUAGGAGGCGAGCGUUAUCCGGAUUUACUGGGCGUAAAGCGCACGCAGGCGGCUUCGCAAGUCGGACGUGAAAGCUCCUGGCUUAACUGGGAGAGGCCGUUCGAUACUGCGGGGCUUGAGGUUGGGAGAGGGGUGCGGAAUUCCCGGUGUAGUGGUGGAAUGCGUAGAUAUCGGGAGGAACACCAGUGGCGAAGGCGGCACCCUGGCCCACACCUGACGCUGAGGUGCGAAAGCGUGGGGAG